CAUUCACCUGAAUGUUAGGGAGAGAUUGAAUUGUAACACCUAGUUUGUAAAAGCUCAUGUGAGGUUGCUGGUCUGUUACAUGAUAAAACAGAUAACAUGGUACACUGAGAACCCUUCAGUUCCUCCUUUUUUGACUGUUAAAAGUCAAAUUUGAAAUUUCCUGUGUUGUUUCUUACUUGUAAAUUUAUUUGAGUUACUAGAAUGAGAGAGGAAUACAGCCUGGGUGACUGGUCAUAGGAUUCAUAUUGUGGAACACACAUUCUUGAUGGCCAGAAAGGAGAAUUACUCAGCUGUGUCUGUAACAGUUGCUUGAAGAUGUUACUAAACCAGCUGAAAAUGCAAACAAAUAGCUCUGGAAUCUUCUGUCUUGGUUCCAGUCACAAGCUCAAUUGAAUUGUGGUGCAGGAGGGGAGUUUACCUCCCAAUAAUAAAAAAGUCAUCAGGCUUCAGAGGCUUAGAGACAUCUGAUAGAGAAGCUGGGCAGCCUCAUCCAUCUUUGGGUUUCCCUUCAGAAAUGUGUGCCAAGUCUGUGUUAAUAUUUGUAACUGAUAAAUAGAGUAAGAUUAACUUGCUUAUUUAUCACACAUUUGCAUAACUGUCACCAUAGCCACCUCUGGCAAAGUUUUCUCCUAGACAUGUAGUUGGAGGCUGCCUUUUACUCUUUACAGGAAUAUUUUUCAUCCUGUUGUGAUACUCGUCAUGCUGAGCAACAGAAAUAUUGUGCUUCGCUUUUGUGGAAGAGCAUUCUGCAGUAUCAGUCUCUGUCAUUCUCCUUCCAGGGGGAGCUAGACUGUGGAUGUUCUAAAAUUGUUUUGAACUUCUCUGUGAAGGAAAACACGAUCACGAGUUACCACAGUGAAUGCAGAAGUGGUGGGUGUUGGUCUGUGUCUCCUCCUCCAGUGAACCCUGCCUGUUCUCUGCUGCCCAGGCUCAGGGCUGCUCUGGAGGCUGUUCCCCUGCCAGCACAAGCAAGGGAGGUGCUUCUGCAGCCUGAGGAUGUUGUGCCAAAUUCCACUUUGAUUCUAAAAAAAUGUGUACACCAGUUAGAAAAAACUGUGCAUAUCAAAGGUUGCCUUGUUUGGAAGAAGAGUAUAAAUAUUUGUAUCAGGCUAGACAAAUUCAAAUGAGAAGAUAAACAUACAUUUUUAACACAUGGAUGAUUAAACGUUGGAAGAAGUUGCCAAGA